UACGUAGGUCGCAAGCGUUGUCCGGAUUUACUGGGCGUAAAGAGCGCGCAGGCGGCUGGUUAAGUCCGAUGUGAAAUCUCCCGGCUCAACUGGGAAACUGCAUCGGAAACUGAUCGGCUUGAAGAUGGGAGAGGGUAGUGGAAUUCCCGGUGUAGUGGUGAAAUGCGUAGAUAUCGGGAGGAACACCAGUGGCGAAGGCGACUACCUGGCCCAUUCUUGACGCUGAGGCGCGAAAGCUAGGGGAGCGAACGGG
rnacentral:rRNA from 1 species